CGCUGGCGGGAUGCCUUACACAUGCAAGUCGAACGGCAGCAUGAUCUAGCUUGCUAGAUUGAUGGCGAGUGGCGAACGGGUGAGUAAUACAUCGGAACGUGCCCUGUAGUGGGGGAUAACUAGUCGAAAGAUUAGCUAAUACCGCAUACGACCUGAGGGUGAAAGUGGGGGACCGCAAGGCCUCAUGCUAUAGGAGCGGCCGAUGUCUGAUUAGCUAGUUGGUGAGGUAAAGGCUCACCAAGGCGACGAUCAGUAGCUGGUCUGAGAGGACGAUCAGCCACACUGGGACUGAGACACGGCCCAGACUCCUACGGGAGGCAGCAGUGGGGAAUUUUGGACAAUGGGGGCAACCCUGAUCCAGCAAUGCCGCGUGUGUGAAGAAGGCCUUCGGGUUGUAAAGCACUUUUGUCCGGAAAGAAAUCGCACUUACUAAUAUUAGGUGUGGAUGACGGUACCGGAAGAAUAAGGACCGGCU
rnacentral:rRNA from 1 species